rnacentral:tRNA from 1 species
CUAGAGAAGUAAAUAAAAUUACAUUUAGUUUCGACCUAAAAAAAGAGUUAACCUCCCUAGAUU